CCUACGGGGGGCAGCAGUGGGGAAUAUUGGACAAUGGGGGCAACCCUGAUCCAGCCAUGCCGCGUGUGUGAAGAAGGCCCUCGGGUUGUAAAGCACUUUCAGUGAGGAAGAACGCCUGGUGGUUAAUACCCAUCAGGAAAGACAUCACUCACAGAAGAAGCACCGGCUAACUCCGUGCCAGCAGCCGCGGUAAUACGGAGGGUGCGAGCGUUAAUCGGAAUUACUGGGCGUAAAGCGCGCGUAGGUGGCUUGAUAAGCCGGUUGUGAAAGCCCCGGGCUCAACCUGGGAACGGCAUCCGGAACUGUCAAGCUAGAGUGCAGGAGAGGAAGGUAGAAUUCCCGGUGUAGCGGUGAAAUGCGUAGAGAUCGGGAGGAAUACCAGUGGCGAAGGCGGCCUUCUGGGCUGACACUGACACUGAGGUGCGAAAGCGUGGGUAGCAAACAGGAUUAGAUACCCCAGUAGUC
rnacentral:rRNA from 1 species